rnacentral:rRNA from 1 species
CGGCUACCACAUCCAAGGAAGGCAGCAGGCGCGCAAAUUACCCAAUCCCGACACGGGGAGGUAGUGACAAUAAAUACUGAUACAGGGCUCUUUUGGGUCUUGUAAUUGGAAUGAGUACAAUUUAAAUCCCUUAACGAGGAACAAUUGGAGGGCAAGUCUGGUGCCAGCAGCCGCGGUAAUUCCAGCUCCAAUAGCGUAUAUUAAAGUUGUUGCAGUUAAAAAGCUCGUAGUUGAACCUUGGGCCUGGCUGGCCGGUCCGCCUCACCGCGUGCACUGGUCCGGCCGGGCCUUUCCUUCUGGGGAGCCGCAUGCCCUUCACUGGGUGUGGGGGGAACCAGGACUUUUACUGUGAAAAAAUUAGAGUGUUCAAAGCAGGCCUUUGCUCGAAUACAUUAGCAUGGAAUAAUAGAAUAGGACGUGUGGUUCUAUUUUGUUGGUUUCUAGGACCGCCGUAAUGAUUAAUAGGGAUAGUCGGGGGCGUCAGUAUUCAGCUGUCAGAGGUGAAAUUCUUGGAUUUGCUGAAGACUAACUACUGCGAAAGCAUUCGCCAAGGAUGUUUUCAUUAAUCAGGGAACGAAAGUUAGGGGAUCGAAGACGAUCAGAUACCGUCGUAGUCUUAACCAUAAACUAUGCCGACUAGGGAUCGGACGGGAUUCUAUAAUGACCCGUUCGGCACCUUACGAGAAAUCAAAGUUUUUGGGUUCUGGGGGGAGUAUGGUCGCAAGGCUGAAACUUAAAG